rnacentral:rRNA from 1 species
UACGAGGGGGGCUAGCGUUGUUCGGAAUUACUGGGCGUAAAGCGCGCGCAGGCGGCUAUCCAAGUCAGUGGUGAAAGCCCGGAGCUCAACUCCGGAACUGCCAUUGAAACUGUUUAGCUUGAGGAUGAGAGAGGUGAGUGGAAUUCCCAGUGUAGAGGUGAAAAUUCGUAGAUAUUGGGAAGAACACCGGUGGCGAAGGCGGCUCACUGGCUCAUUACUGACGCUCAGGCGCGAUAGCGUGGGGAUCAAACAGG